CCUACGGGAGGGCAGCAGUGGGGAAUAUUGGACAAUGGGGGGAACCCUGAUCCAGCCAUGCCGCGUGUGUGAAGAAGGCCCUCGGGUUGUAAAGCACUUUCAGUGAGGAAGAACGCCUGGUGGUUAAUACCCAUCAGGAAAGACAUCACUCACAGAAGAAGCACCGGCUAACUCCGUGCCAGCAGCCGCGGUAAUACGGAGGGUGCGAGCGUUAAUCGGAAUUACUGGGCGUAAAGCGCGCGUAGGUGGCUUGAUAAGCCGGUUGUGAAAGCCCCGGGCUCAACCUGGGAACGGCAUCCGGAACUGUCAAGCUAGAGUGCAGGAGAGGAAGGUAGAAUUCCCGGUGUAGCGGUGAAAUGCGUAGAGAUCGGGAGGAAUACCAGUGGCGAAGGCGGCCUUCUGGACUGACACUGACACUGAGGUGCGAAAGCGUGGGUAGCAAACAGGAUUAGAUACCCGAGUAGUC
rnacentral:rRNA from 1 species